CGAGGACGAACGCUGGCGGCGUGCUUAACACAUGCAAGUCGAACGAGAAUCUGCGGAAAGAGGAUUCGUCCAAUUGAAGCAGAGGACAGUGGCGGACGGGUGAGUAACGCGUGAGGAACCUGCCUUUCAGGAGGGGGACAACAGUUGGAAACGACUGCUAAUACCGCAUGACACAUCGGAGUCGCAUGGCUCUGAUGUACAAAGUAUUUAUCGCUGAAAGAUGGCCUCGCGUCUGAUUAGCUAGUUGGUGAGGUAACGGCCCACCAAGGCGACGAUCAGUAGCCGGACUGAGAGGUUGAACGGCCACAUUGGGACUGAGAUACGGCCCAGACUCCUACGGGAGGCAGCAGUGGGGAAUAUUGGGCAAUGGGCGCAAGCCUGACCCAGCAACGCCGCGUGAAGGAAGAAGGCUUUCGGGUUGUAAACUUCUUUUGUCAGGGACGAGUAGAAGACGGUACCUGACGAAUAAGCCACGGCUAACUACGUG
rnacentral:rRNA from 1 species